rnacentral:rRNA from 1 species
GAUGAACGCUAGCGGCAGGCUUAACACAUGCAAGUCGAGGGGUAUAGGUUUUCGGACCUAGAGACCGGCGCACGGGUGCGUAACGCGUAUGCAAUCUACCUUUCACAGAGGGAUAGCCCAGAGAAAUUUGGAUUAAUACCUCAUAGUAUAGCAGUUUCGCAUGAAACCACUAUUAAAGUAUCAACGGUGAAAGAUGGGCAUGCGUCCCAUUAGCUAGAUUGUAAGGUAACGGCUUACCAUGGCUACGAUGGGUAGGGGUCCUGAGAGGGAGAUCCCCCACACUGGUACUGAGACACGGACCAGACUCCUACGGGAGGCAGCAGUGAGGAAUAUUGGUCAAUGGACGCAAGUCUGAACCAGCCAUGCCGCGUGCAGGAUGACGGUCCUAUGGAUUGUAAACUGCUUUUGUACGAGAAGAAACAACAUUACGUGUAAUGUCUUGACGGUAUCGUAAGAAUAAGGAUCGGCUAACUCCGUGCCAGCCGCCGCAGUAAAAC